rnacentral:rRNA from 1 species
CGAUGCGUAGCCGACCUGAGAGGGUGAUCGGCCACACUGGGACUGAGACACGGCCCAGACUCCUACGGGAGGCAGCAGUAGGGAAUCUUCCGCAAUGGACGAAAGUCUGACGGAGCAACGCCGCGUGAGUGAUGAAGGCUUUCGGGUCGUAAAACUCUGUUGUUAGGGAAGAACAAGUGCUAGUUGAAUAAGCUGGCACCUUGACGGUACCUAACCAGAAAGCCACGGCUAACUACGUGCCAGCAGCCGCAGCAAUACGCGGUUUUUGAGCGUUCCCUCCAAUACGUAGGUGCAAAGCGCGCGCAGGUGGUUUCUUAAGUCUGAUGUGAAAGCCCACGGCUCAACCGUGGAGGGUCAUUGGAAACUGGGAGACUUGAGUGCAAAGAGGAGCCUGGGAAUUCCAUGUGUAGCGGUGAAAUGCGUAAGCAAGUUCAAGCCCACCAGUGGCGAAGGCGACUUUCUGGUUUGUAACUGACACUGAGGCGCGAAAGCGCGAAGAGUUAUCAGGACGGGAUUCGUUGUUAGUCCGGGUUACAAACGAUGAGUGCCAGCCGCUGGGGACUUUCUCCCCUUUCCCGCUUGGUCCCCCCCCCCGGCCACUCCCCCCGGGAAGUGUGGUGGUACCACCGGAAUUGGGGGGGACCUUUUGGAGCCAGCCCCGUCUGGGGAGCAUGUGGUUUAAUUCGAAGCAACGCGAAGAACCUUACCAGGUCUUGACAUCCUCUGAAAACCCUAGAGAUAGGGCUUCUCCUUUCGGAGCAGAGUGACAGGUGGUGCAUGGUUGUCGUCAGCUCGUGUCGUGAGAUGUUGGGUUAAGUCCCGCAACGAGCGCAACCCUUGAUCUUAGUUGCCAUCAUUAAGUUGGGCACCUCUAGGUGACUGCCGGUGACAAACCGGAGGAAGGUGGGGAUGACGUCAAAUCAUCAUGCCCCUUAUGACCUGGGCUACACACGUGCUACAAUCGACGGUACAAAGAGCUGCAAGACCGCGAGGUGGAGCUAAUCUCAUAAAACCGUUCUCAGUUCGGAUUGUAGGCUGCAAG